CUCUGCAGGAGAACCUGGCAUGUUGAGGACUUGGAUUUGGUCCUCAGGCCUGAAGGAAUAAAAGCAACUCCCACAACACAGGCCUUAGCAGCCCUAGGACGCAGUAAUGAGAAGCCAGCUCUGCCGCAGUUUACACAGUAACACAGCGUUUCUUCUCUUUAGAGACAGUAAAUAUGUGUAUUAUGUCAACGGGCCUGCCACAAGCAAGUUAGAAGAAAUGCUCGGAUGUAAGAAGCCAAUAGGAAAACCAGCCACUGCAAAACUAUGAUAAUCAUGGAGCAGUUACAGAAAACACAGUUCCAUAAUGACAGUCACAAAGGACUUACUCUGCCACAAAUGGGCGCUGAGAGGAAGAUGUGACGUCUGUCUCCUUGAGACCCGUGAGCCGUGCUUCUGCCAGGAGGAGGAGAGCAUGGGAAUGUCAGUGUGACUGUCCCACCAUGAUGGCUGCCAGCGGCAUUCAUGGCACUGUGUUGUCUAAUAAAGCAGUCUUGAAAAUGUUCUUGG
rnacentral:lncRNA from 1 species